rnacentral:lncRNA from 1 species
GUUCCUUGUGGGUGCGGUCGCUGCGCAAGGGUCACCUUACCUCCCCGCCCCACACCUGCGAGUCUCCCCCACCCAACCCCACAGCUGGGGCCGCCUGGGAGAUUUUCUCAUUGCCUCCUUUCGUCUAAUCCCCACACUACCCUCGGGCCUGGGUAAAGAGGCCUAAACUGCAUCCUGCACUCUUGUUGGAUGAAUUUAGUGAGAUGCCUUGAACACAGGACGGGUAUGGUGGAGAGCAUUUCAAAUAACCAAAAAACCACAGAGUGGGUCAAUUUGUCAGCCUCUCGAGGAGGAAAGCCAGCAGUUAAUUCCUCCCCAGACACAACAGCCCGAGACUGCGCUUCAGAAGUUUGACUCUGAGGUCUCCUUCUCCGGCAGCAAGCUCUGCGGAAGUUCCUUUCCUCCUUCCUGCUGUCUCUGUGCCUCUUCCUUUAGACCUCCAGCCUCUGGAGAAUGGCUUCCUGUUUCUUGAGUUCUUCCAAAGAGUGCAGCUCCAAGUGCACCUGGUUGAUUUGGUCCCACAGG